rnacentral:lncRNA from 1 species
GUAUAUUUCUACCUAGAGAAGUUCUAUGGAAAAUGGGAUUGGAUCAAUUAGCCUUUGAUUCGAAUAAACAUAACACGUAUAAGCACACAAAAAGUUAUAUUACACAAGCAUAUUGUAAUAAACGUGCAUCCUAAUUGGGUGACCCUUUUGAGCCAAGGGUUUAGGCCUAACGAAUUUUGAAGAAAAUAUACGCCUUUUUAAAGCCAAUCCAUUAUCCCCCUAAAACCUUCAUAGGUAUACAUAAAUGGCAUAAAUGCCUACAAAAGUUUCACAAAAGGGAAACAAUCUUUAGGGAAAGGGAAAAUAACAUGAGAAGAAGAGUAAUGUCCCGCGUGGGGGAUAAUAAAUACUAGUUCCCGAAUGUUUCUUCUAUCGGCCUUCGCCCUUUUAGCUUUGUCCACUCCUCAUUAUUGGUGACAUCCGUUAAUGAUCAAGCGAUUGCCGUAUAACUGUGCCAUAGAUGUCAUGCAACUGUCCAAAUCGAUCAAUUUCUUGCUCAAUUUCUUUAUUAAUUGGUGUACGAUUGAGGCAUCCUUAUAAAGUAAGUAAAACAAGUCUUUUCCCGAACCCCCAAAGAAUAAUGAUUGGAUUAAACAAGCAUAUAUUUCUUCAACACAUAAAUAUGAUUCUUCUGUAAUUGACUCGGGGUCGAUAGACGCAGAGCAAGUUUUCUAAUGGGCCCAAUACCCUCCUCGGGUAUUAGGUUGUCCUAGGCUCAUGCCUAAAAUAGGGUUUUGGUUUUGUUCUAUCCUAGGUGUCUAGAGUGGGUUUGAAUCAGGUUCCCAAGCGGACAACUUGGGUUUGAAAAUACGAAUGGACACAAGACGACUAACGUGCUAAUAAACCAUUGUAUUUCCAACACAUUAUUUGGAACUGAACAACAGGGGCCGGGACAUCCACGAAACCCCAAAACAGUUUAUAAAUAAAUGCAGGAAUAUGCUAUGAGAUGCAAUAAUUAAAUACCGCAAAAUCAAAACAUAUAAACACGUAAACAAUUAAUCAAAAGACUAAAUCAAACAUUUGGUUAGAACCUAGUUAAAAUGUCCCUAGCAGAGUCUUCAGCUUUGUUUUGACGAAAUUUUGACUUUUAAAGAGAGUCGCCACAUAAUUUUGAAAAGAAAUUAAGAAACCUUUAUAAAAUACAUAGACGAUUCAAAACAGGAAAAUCGUUUAAGUUAGAGAUUAUGAAUAAGCGCUUCCUAUUAACGCUUUAGGAAGGUGUUAGGCACCUAAAACGUCCGCUAGCUUACGGUUAUCCGGACUGUUUGAAAACAUCUUUUGACUAACUUCAAAAAAGAUUGAUUUGUUGAAAAGUAAUUGAUUUUUUAGAAAAGACUAGUGUAAAAUAAAUUUAGGCGACUUAGUAGGGAUUUUAACUAAGUUUAAGCAAAAUGACUAAGCAAAUAAACAUAUAAAAGAGGAAGGGAAGGAGAAAGUAAAAGAUUCGGGCCAUUAGCUCAAAUCAACGGACCUGUCCUAGUCUAAUUGAACUUUUGACCCAUUUCACCUGUCUUAAUCUAGUUUUUGAGCCUUCGGCUUGAGGAUCGAGCCACCUAUAUUAAAUUUACAACGUUGGUUUCGAGGCUCAAAUGAAUGAAUAGUGAAAGAAAUAAAUAAAUAAACAAUAAUAAAACAAAAACAAUAAAUAAAUAACGAUAACAAAUAAAUAAACAGAAAUGAGGCUCGGGUUUCAUCGUCGCUUCAAGAAUGGGACUUUAACUAAUUUCCCUUCUUUCGACUCCUCGUAUCCAUAUGUGCUUGUCUUUUCGGGUCUUCAAAUUCGACUCAAGACUGAGUGGGCCUCAAAAAAAACCUCAAGGGCACGUAAGGAACAUGCAAAGGUAAAGAGACUCCAUGCAAAACUCGAGCGUAUCCACAUGCAAAUGCAAAGGGAAAGUAGAGUAAUUAAUGAAUGUCCUAACACUAAUAUUCAAACAAAAAUGCUAGAAUAUCACUCAUCUUAUUUAAUAAUAGGCAGAUAAUAUAAAAAAAAGACAUGUUAACUUAGCAAAAGUAAUGUCACUUGAAAGAGAAAAUAGUAUCGAUCCGGAUAAUUGGCAUGCAUGCUCAAGAAGUGAAAAGCAGAAAUUUAACAUCAAAAUGUAAAAGAAAUCAAAACAUGUCCAGAAUACGGAUACAAAAAGAAGUAAAUUGAUUAACACAUUCAAAAGCUACUAAUUAAAUACUACCUUAUUCAAAAAUCAAUUUUAAAAGUAAAAGUGCCAAAUGAUAUCUCGCAACAUCCUUCUACUUUGACCAUUUGAGGCAUCCAAGUUUCAACAAUAAAUGAAAUAGACCAAACAACAAGCAACAAUGAAAACAAAAUAAGGAAGAGAUACUAGAUAUUCAAAUAAAAAAAAAGUAAAAAAAAAAACACCUUAAUGGCCUCAAACAUAAUGGAUAAUUCUUCUUGACCCUCCGAGGUUCAAGCAUUAGUGCAGACAACAUGCUAAAAUAAAGCACUCAUAGAUCAGGCAACACGUUGAUAAGAUUAAACAUAUUCGAAAGCCUUGAAAAAAUAUUCAUGCUAUCGAGUGUUCAUGGACAUCCCAAAAGCAAAAGAGAACAAAGAGUAAAACAGGAAUCAAAUGGAACCUGAAACAUGAGAAAUAAAAUCUUGAACACAUUCUGGUCAUAAAAACAACAUGUGGAUAGACCAAUCCCCAAGAAAUAAUUCACGAGAACAACCAACAAUUGACAUAAUCUAACAAGGAUCAAUUUCUAACCAGACUUAUUUUCUUAGAAGAUUAAAGUUUUCAUAUUCCAUGACUAACCUGAACCAACAGGGUGAAUAAAAACCAUCAGCAUUGACUUUAGAUAGAGAACAGAAUCUAGAAAGACCAAAGUGAAUCAAAACUAAACUACACUUAAAAAAGGCGCAAAUAGGCUGGAAUAUUCGAACAUCAAGACAGCGAGUCGAAUCGUGAUACUCAAAAAGUGAGAAUAACAUAUUGGGAUGAAUGAAAUCUAAUGUUACAGUAGUUUUAAGAGCAAGCACAACAACAAAUCAUGAAAUUUAAGCAAAAUUUAAGCCUUUCAACUCAAAAUUUUGAACAAAUCCAUAGAAAAUUACACAUUUCGGCUUUCAUCCGAUAAAAUUCAAGCAAGACAAUAAUCUAAGACCUUGCAACGGGAGUCUUUAACUCAGGAUAAUACAACGAACAAGGAAAGACAACAAUUUGAUGAUAUACGAGGCUUUAACCAGUCAACAUAUUAACAUGAAAAACUGUGUUCAAAGAAACCAAAUGUGGAAUGACCUAUGAUUCAACAAACAACAUAACGAUCAAUACAAUCUAAUCCUACAGCCGACGAGGCCUUCUACAACUACUCGCAGCACAAAAUAACAUUGAAAAAAAGUUAUUUAUAACUACAGAAGGUCUAGAUGAAGCAGAAAUAAUUGAAACUUGAACGGAAAAGGAUAUUACCUGUUAAGGAGCAACAAAACGGGACAACAAGCUAUCGUCAGGAUUCCGAUUGCGACCCAAAGAGCUUCGCUGCUAUUCCGAUGAUCUUUUCAAAAAUAUUUUUUAAUAAAGGAAUUGAUUGUGCUCUAAAAUUUUUCUUCUACUUUUUUUAAGAAUUUCCAACCCCCCCCCCCCCCCCCCCUUCUUUUUUUUUUGCUCUAAAGAAAGCUAUUUGUAGAAUAUGAAAAAUAGGGUCCCCUUGGAGCUCAACGAUGUGGAAAAAAUUGAAAUAGGGGGUAAUUUUAGAAUUUUUGAAAUAGGAUCUUGCUUUUGAAAUUCAAACCCAGGAACAAUUUUCAGCCCCUAAGUUGCACCAAAAUUUGAAUUUUUUUGGAGAAUUUGAGAAAAUAGGCAACCAAUAGAAAUUGGGAGAAGGAAAUCAUCUUCAAGAACCAAUGGAAUUCUCCUAAAUAUGUACGAAUUUGUAGGGAUUAAUCCAAAAUUUUAGGGACUUGAACGUUGGGAGGAGACAACUCACUAUAUUCUAGAAGAUUCGAGGAUUUUCUCGCGCAUGGAGGGGGGUCGAUUUGUUUGGAUUAUUGAUGAGUUGUUGGGGAUGUUAUCAGGUCAUUGGAUUCGGGUUGAGAGGAGUUGGCGUUGCUGGAGAUGGGUCAGGUUCGGCUGGUGUCGUGUUUGUGGAAUUGUAGGCGGGUAUUGAGGGUGUAGUUGUACGCUAUUGUUGAAAAUUGUUGUUGUUUGUUUUAUGUUGAAGAAAAGGAUAUUAC